AUAAUAUUGGACACCGCUUACUCCAGAAACAUGGGUGGAAGCUGGGCCAGGGAUUGGGAAAAUCUCUUCAGGAUUGUGAUGUGAAUGCUACGUCAGAAAUGAUGGGAAUCAUUUUGCUUCUACAUCUGGUCAUGGAGGGGCUCAUUGUGUAAAGGGAUCUUUGGAGAGAGGUGUGCUACUGUUGACUAAUUCUUUGAAUUUUAGAAAUGGAUUUUCACAGUUUGAAUGUGGAAGUCUACAGCUCAAGUGUGUUAAGAACAAGAAAGAGGACAGGGCAUGAAAUAGGACAUUUCAAUCAUUAACACCUUUGCUUUUUAAAUUCUACUUCUGCAAAUUCUUUUCAGUGGUAACACAUAGAAGAUGCAAAUAAAUAUAUUUUGAUACAGUA